GCCCAGGUAGCUCAGCGGUAGAGCACAUCCUUGGUAAGGAUGAGGUCGGCGGUUCAACCCCGCUCUUGGGCU
rnacentral:tRNA from 1 species